UGGGGGAUAUUGCACAAUGGGCGAAAGCCUGAUGCAGCGACGCCGCGUGGGGGAUGAAGGCCUUCGGGUUGUAAACUUCUUUUGCUCUGAACAAGGCAUGCCUUUGGGGUGUGUUGAGUGUAGGGGUUGAUUAGCGCCGGCUAACUACGUGCCAGCAGCCGCGGUAAUACGUAGGGCGCGAGCGUUGUCCGGAAUUAUUGGGCGUAAAGGGCUUGUAGGUGGCUGGUUGCGUCUGUCGUGAAAGCUCAUGGCUUAACUGUGGGUUUGCGGUGGGUACGGGCUGGCUUGAGUGCAGUAGGGGAGGGUGGAAUUCCUGGUGUAGCGGUGGAAUGCGCAGAUAUCAGGAGGAAUACCGGUGGCGAAGGCGGGUCUCUGGGCUGUUACUGACGCUGAUGAGCGAAAGCGUGGGGAGCGAACAGG
rnacentral:rRNA from 1 species